AACGAACGCUGGCGGCAGGCCUAACACAUGCAAGUCGAACGCCCUAGCAAUAGGGAGUGGCAGACGGGUGAGUAACGCGUGGGAACGUGCCCUUCAGUUCGGGAUAACCCAGGGAAACUUGGGCUAAUACCGGAUACGUGCGAGAGCAGAAAGAUUUAUCGCUGAAGGAUCGGCCCGCGUCCGAUUAGCUAGUUGGUGGUGUAAUGGACCACCAAGGCGACGAUCAGUAGCUGGUCUGAGAGGAUGAUCAGCCACACUGGGACUGAGACACGGCCCAGACUCCUACGGGAGGCAGCAGUGGGGAAGAUUGGACAAUGGGCGCAAGCCUGAUCCAGCCAUGCCGCGUGAGUGAUGAAGGUCCUAGGGUUGUAAAGCUCUUUCGGCGGGGACGAUAAUGACGGUACCCGCAGAAGAAGCCCCGGCUAACUUCGUGCCAGCCGCCGCCGUAAAAC
rnacentral:rRNA from 1 species